rnacentral:rRNA from 1 species
GACGAACGCUGGCGGCGUGCUUAACACAUGCAAGUCGAACGAUGAAGCUAGAGCUUGCUCUGGUGGAUUAGUGGCGAACGGGUGAGUAACACGUGAGUAACCUGCCCGGAACUCUGGGAUAACUGCUGGAAACGGUAGCUAAUACCGGAUAUGACCAAUGAAGGCAUCUUCUGUUGGUGGAAAGAAUUUCGGUUCGGGAUGGACUCGCGGCCUAUCAGCUUGUUGGUGAGGUAACGGCUCACCAAGGCGACGGCGGGUAGACGGCCUGAGAGGGUGGGCGGCCACACUGGGACUGAAACACGGCCCAGACUCCUACGGGAGGCAGCAGUGGGGAAUAUUGCACAAUGGGAGCAAGCCUGAUGCAGCAACGCCGCGUGAGGGACGUCGGCCUUCGGGUUGUAAACCUCUUUUAGUAGGGAAGAAGCGAAAGUGACGGUACCUGCAGAAAAAGCACCGGCUAACUACGUGCCAGCCGCCGCAGUAA